rnacentral:rRNA from 1 species
UACGAAGGGGGCUAGCGUUGCUCGGAAUCACUGGGCGUAAAGGGUGCGUAGGCGGUUUGGUAAGUCUCUUGUGAAAUCUAUGGGCUCAACUCAUAGUCUGCAAGGGAAACUGCCGGGCUUGAGUGUGGGAGAGGUGAGUGGAAUUUCCGGUGUAGCGGUGAAAUGCGUAGAUAUCGGAAGGAACACCUGUGGCGAAAGCGGCUCACUGGACCACAACUGACGCUGAUGCACGAAAGCUAGGGGAGCAAACAGG